AUGGAAAGCAUGAGGAUCUCCCUGCUCUCCCUUCUCCCGUUCCUUCUCCUCGCGAUCGCCGCCGAGGCAACCGGCGACGACCUCAGCACGUUCAUCGUCCACGUGCAAGCGGAGGAGAACCGCGUGUUCGGCACCGCGGACGACCGGAAGGCGUGGUACCACUCGUUCCUCCCCGACCAUGGCCGGCUCGUCCACGCGUACCACCACGUCGCCAGCGGAUUCGCGGCCCGGCUGACGCAGAGCGAGCUCGUGGCGAUGUCCGCCAUGCCCGGGUUCCUCAGCGCGACCCCUGACCGGACGUACACGACGCUGACGACGCACAUGCCCGAGUUCCUUGGGCUGAAUGGGCGCUGCAACUUCAACUGCACCUCGUGCAACAACAAGCUCAUCGGCGCGCGCAACUUCGUCGCCACACUCAACGGCCCGAACGGGACUGACGCGCGGGUGCUGCCGGUCGAUGACUUUGGGCACGACACUUACACCGCGAGCACCAUGGCGGGAGCGGUCGUGCCGGGCGCUAACAUGCUCGGCCAUGCGUCGGGCAUCGCCUCCGGGAUGGCGGCACGCGCGCACAUCGCCAUGUACAAGGUGUGCGAUCUUAACGGAGGGUGCGAGGCGUCCGACAUACUGGCCGGUGUUGACGCCACCGUGGGCGACAGCUGCAACGUCAUCUCCAUGUCUCUCGGCGGGCCGUCGGUACCCUUUGACCAAGAUCCUAUCGCCAUCAGGACGUUCGGCGCGAUCGAGAAGGGCAUUUUUGUGAGCAUUGCUGCUGGCAACUCCGGCCCCGGAGAGAGCACCGUGAAAAACAAGGCUCCAUGGAUGCUCACCGUCGCCGCGAGUACCAUGGACCGCUCCAUCCGUUCGAUCUUUUCGUACCUCUGGCUGGUGGUGGAAUGUACGGAGCGUGAUCCUUCCCCUUGGCCGCUGGAGCAGACCGACUGCCCUCAGCCCGGCGCGAAGCUCGUCCAUGUCGACGCCAAUCGACAGCUUGAGGUCGUCGAUGCGCGUCGUCAGAUCGCCCACGAUGGACCGCAUCGACUUGGCCGCCUCCUCCUCUUGGCGCUUGAAGCGUACGUCGAGGGACUCCGCCAGGUCGGCCUUGAGGAACUCGUACACCGCCUUCGUUGCCGGCGACAUGCUCUCCAUGACUUCGCGGCGUCGGCGCGCCGCGAAUCUCGUCACGUGGGGAUGAUGGAGCGGAACUUGUUGCACCAGGAUCGAAGCUCUGAUGCCAGUUAACGUCCUACCGGCGUCGAGCGUCGACUACCUCACGGGUGUAGCCAUCAAAUCUUACCUGGGAGGACAGCUCCCAGUGGCGACUAUCGGCUUCAAGGGCACAAUGUUGGGCCCGUCACCUGCUCUCCCUCGAUCGUUUUCUUCUCAUCUCGUGGGCCUAGCCGCCAGGGCCCUGGCAUUCUGAAGCCCGACAUCACGGGGCCCGGGGUGAACAUGCUCGCCGCAUGGCCGUUUCAGGUCGGGCCGCCGUCGGCACCAGUUCCCUCCGGACCGACCUUCAACAUCAUCUCGGGUACGUGCAUGUCGACACCGCACCUCGCCGGCAUUGUGGCGCUGAUCAAGAGCAAGCACCCGGACUGGUCACCAGCGGCGAUCAAGUCAGCCAUGAUGACGACGGCCGACAUCACCGACCGCUCCGGCAAUCCCAUACUCAACGAGCAGCGUGUGGCGGCCAACUUCUUCGCCACUGGCGCCGGACACGUCAAUCCAAUCAAGGCCGCUGACCCUGGCCUGGUCUACGACAUCACCCCCGAGGAUUACAUCGGCUACCUCUAUAGCAUGUACACGAGCCAGCAGGUCACGGUGAUCGCGCGCCGGCCGAUCGACUGCUUGACCACCUUGGUGAUCAGCGACCUGUUGAAUUACCCGUCGAUCUCGGUCGCUUUUCCGGCGACCUGGAAUUCGACAGCGCUGGUAGUCGUGAGGCGCAAGGUGAAGAACGUUGGGGAGGUGCCUUCGGUGUACUAUGCGGCGAUCGACAUGCCGAGCAGUGCGGUAAGCGUGGACGUAUAUCCGAGGGCGCUGGAGUUCAUGGAAGCAAACCAAGAGGUGAUCUUUUUGGUAUACAUGUGGCCGAGGCAGAGUGGUGCAACGGUGGUGCAGGGUGCUCUACGGUGGGUAUCCCAAAAGCAUACUGUGCGGAGCCCAAUCUCCGUCACCAUUGCUUGA
rnacentral:rRNA from 1 species